UAUGAAGGGGGCUAGCGUUGCUCGGAAUUACUGGGCGUAAAGGGCGCGUAGGCGGACAUUUAAGUCAGGGGUGAAAUCCCAGAGCUCAACUCUGGAACUGCCUUUGAUACUGGGUGUCUUGAGUGUGAGAGAGGUAUGUGGAACUCCGAGUGUAGAGGUGAAAUUCGUAGAUAUUCGGAAGAACACCAGUGGCGAAGGCGACAUACUGGCUCAUUACUGACGCUGAGGCGCGAAAGCGUGGGGAGCAAACAGG
rnacentral:rRNA from 1 species